CGCGCCUACACAUGCAAGUCGAACGAGAAAGUGGAGCAAUCCAUGAGUACAGUGGCGUACGGGUGAGUAACACGUGGGUAAUCUACCCUUUGGUGGGGAAUAACUCUGGGAAACUAGAGCUAAUACCGCAUAAACCUGAGAAGGUAAAGCAGCAAUGCGCCGAAGGAGGAGCCCGCGGCCGAUUAGCUAGUUGGUAGGGUAAAAGCCUACCAAGGCAAAGAUCGGUAGCCGGCCUGAGAGGGCACACGGCCACACUGGCACUGAAACACGGGCCAGACUCCUACGGGAGGCAGCAGUGGGGAAUCUUGCACAAUGGGGGAAACCCUGAUGCAGCGACGCCGCGUGAGCGAUGAAGCCCUUCGGGGUGUAAAGCUCUUUCGGCAGGGAAGAUUAUGACGGUACCUGCAGAAGCAGCUGCGGCUAACUACGUGCCAGCAGCCGCGGUAAUACGUAGGCAGCAAGCGUUGUUCGGAGUUACUGGGCGUAAAGGGUGUGUANGCGGCUCCUUAAGUUUGGUGUGAAAUCUCCCGGCUCAACCGGGAGGGUGCGCCGAAUACUGAGGGGCUAAAGUGCGGGAGAGGAAAGUGGAAUUCCUG
rnacentral:rRNA from 1 species